rnacentral:lncRNA from 1 species
AAACAACUGAGAAGGUGCCUCGACAUCUGAUUUGCCCCAAACCUCUAUACACUGGACAUCUUCUGAAUAAGGCUGUGUUGUAUGUUGGGACAAGCAAAGGGAUGGAAAUCAAGAAUUCUGGGUUUUAGUCCUGACUGUCACUACAUGGCUGUGUUACUUCUGGUAAGUCAAUUAACUUUGCGUUGUGUCCUCAUUAGCAAAAAGGGAACACAAAUGUCUGUACUGUUUUCUUCCUGGAUAGUUGUGAAGACAUCAUAGUCUAUGCCCUGUAUCCCUAGCACUCCAGCACACGUGAGACCAUAUGCCAUUUGCAAAGCAUGUGAUAUAUGAUGGCAUUGGUGGUUCUUCUCCUCAUGCACAGCAGAAUCACCCAGGGAGCUUUUACGUAUACUGUUUUCUUGCUAGAAUGUGGAGCAACUAGAAUUCACAAACAUUGCGGACUCUGUGAAGCAGAACUCGGGCCUCUAGCGUCUGCUAGUCUAGAUCUAAAGGUGUUUCCUGAGGGACAGUUUGGCCUGGCAUGCAGGUACCUCUGCAGACCACAACAGUGCACCGAAAACACCCCCUCCCAGCACGCACACAAGUCUGGCUCCUCAGCCAAACAUCAAACACCAACACUGCUGCCCAUGCCAGAUGCCAAGUGAGAUAAUGUGUGUUAUACCCUUAGUGUGUUACAAAGAGAAAAG